AUUGAACGCUGGCGGCAGGCCUAACACAUGCAAGUCGAGCGGGGUUUUCGGACCUAGCGGCGGACGGGUGAGUAAUGCGUAGGAAGCUACCCGAUAGAGGGGGAUACCAGUUGGAAACGACUGUUAAUACCGCAUAAUGUCUACGGACCAAAGUGUGGGACCUUCGGGCCACAUGCUAUCGGAUGCGCCUACGUGGGAUUAGCUAGGUGGUGAGGUAAUGGCUCACCAAGGCGACGAUCUCUAGCUGGUUUGAGAGGAUGAUCAGCCACACUGGAACUGAGACACGGUCCAGACUCCUACGGGAGGCAGCAGUGGGGAAUAUUGGACAAUGGGCGCAAGCCUGAUCCAGCCAUGCCGCGUGUGUGAAGAAGGCCUUCGGGUUGUAAAGCACUUUCAGCGAGGAGGAAGGGGUGUGUGUUAAUAGUACACACCUUUGACGUUACUCGCAGAAGAAGCACCGGCUAACUCUGUGCCAGCCGCCGCCGUAAUAC
rnacentral:rRNA from 1 species